CCGGAAAAAGGAGACGUUACUUUAUCGCAGCAGCUAAACAAACCAAUCUUCAAAUAAUGCAUCCUUCACCUUGGCAAAGGGCAUUUCUUGAAGAAACGGACCUAUCCUGUACUUAACAGCUUGUGGGUCAAAGAUGUAUUUCAAAUUGUGAGUCUCAAUCCCUUCCUGGGUCAGGAAGUCAUGUGAAUGGGUUGACUGGCAUUUCCCCCCUUUCUGUUGCAGUUUUGCCAUAGAUGUGGGGAGGUAUACACACUGUGAGAAUAAAGUUUGAAAUUCCAGAAGUUGAACAUGCCCAGAUCAAAAGCAGACCUGAGAUGUCCCUAGAAUAUCCUUAUCUCCCUUCUGUGACCUCCCCCCACUAAGGUGACCAGUGACUGGCAUCAUGAUUUCUAACAGCUUAGAUUAGUUUCACCUGUUUUUGUAGGCCAUCCUCUCUUUAGACUUCUCUUUUUCCAGAGAAGCAGAAGAACUCUGGAGUGCACUGACCAUUAGGAGGAUGAAACUGUUAUCCCUGUGGUUGUCCUCUUAUAAUUCACAUCAGUGCCUUGUCCAGAGUAGCAGAUGCUGAAUACAGUUAUUGAGUGGAUCCAGAUUAACAACGUAUGGAAAAAUCAUUCUGAGAAAUGAGGCACACCCGGUACCUCCUAGUCAUCCUCAGCCAAUCAGACGCCCCCUUCUGAUGCUCCCAGCCUUCCUCCCCAGCCUGCACCAGCCUUUUCCCAUCGCAGAGUCAAGUGCAAAGUUUCCUGGGCCAUUUUCUGACAAUUCAGAGAACGUGAGACUGAGAAAGGUCUUUCGACAUCUCCUAAUCUGAUGACAAAUCUCUACAGAGGAGCAAGGAGGCAAGAAGACUGAGGCGGGCUAUCAGUUCACUGCCUCCCUCCCCGACUGCUCUGGGCUAAAGCAUGCAGAAGAGGCUCCAUCGGAAGCUGAGGCUUAUUCCAUAUCUGUGAUAUCAGAUAAAUCUUGUCAAGAGGCAAGUGUCUACCAGCAAAAGGAAUGUACUAUCAGGGUAUUUCCAAGAAGAGGCAAGAGGAAAAACCUUUCAUCACACGCACCUCUGGACGAAUGCCCCUGUUCUCUGCUUGUGGAAGAAAGCAGCCAUUGGACUGUGCACAAAUGCACCUCAACAAGCAAGAUUCUAGAACAUGCCUGCCACUUGUGCGCACAAGCUUAUGACACCCACCCACCUACUAAUCCGAGAG